GCAUCCGCUGCAGUUGCCUAACUAACGGUAGUCCUUACAUGCAACUGUAGUAAUGCAGUGCUAUAUGUAUUGUGUAGCUAACACCGGCUUGGCCAGAACAUUUUAACAAACAUUUAGCAAAAAGCAAGGGCACGUGAAUGUGUCCAACUUUUGAAUGGAGUUUGCGUGUUGAAAGUUAAGACCUUCUUGCUGACUCAUCUCUUUGGCUCGGACUGACCUCAGGAGUGUUGUGGCGGAGCCAGUAGUACGCCUCUCUGAAGUCGUCGAAGAUGAUCCGGCUGCCGUCACCGCCGCGGGCCGACAGGACAAUGGAGGGAGA